rnacentral:tRNA from 1 species
GCUCCAGUAGUGUAAUCCGGCUAAGCACGUCAGCCUUUCGCGCUGAGAAUCUGGGUUCAAAUCCCGGCUGGAGCA